rnacentral:rRNA from 1 species
UACGUAGGGUGCAAGCGUUAAUCGGAAUUACUGGGCGUAAAGCGUGCGCAGGCGGCUUCGCAAGACAGAUGUGAAAUCCCCGGGCUUAACCUGGGAACUGCAUUUGCGACUGCAUGGCUGGAGUGCGGCAGAGGGGGAUGGAAUUCCGCGUGUAGCAGUGAAAUGCGUAGAUAUGCGGAGGAACACCGAUGGCGAAGGCAAUCCCCUGGGCCUGCACUGACGCUCAUGCACGAAAGCGUGGGGAGCAAACAGG